AAAAUUUUCUUAUUCCUUUGGAGAGAACUUUUCCCUGCUUAUUACUGAUAUGUUUCCUUCCACAGUUUAUAUUUUUGCUAUUUAGAAUGUCAUGAAAAUAGCCUUUUACAUUUUAGUUUCCUUCACUUAGCUCAAUAUAGUUGAAGUUUUUUCAUGUUAUAUAUGUCUGUAGUUAUUCACUGUGUUUCUAUAGUUUUAUAGUUCAUUAGUUGAUAAUUUUUAUAGAAAGAAAUGAUCAAAAAAAUAGAUGUAGGACAGUAAACAUUAGAACUGACUGAGGCCAAACAUCCAUACAUCCUGAUUGCACGGGACAGACUUAGUUUGUGCCUGUUGUCCUAACAAGCUUUUUCAUGAUGCCUCCUCUCAUUCCCAGCAGUGUCUUGGUUUGGAUGGUAAAUUAUUUAGUUAAUCCAAAUGUGACAGGACAAGAUGUGAUCAUACUUCAUAGGCUUUCUGGUGGUGUUCAAUUUGCUUUCCAAACACUAAAUCAUACAUAUUUAUGUUUUAUGUAAAUGCUAUGAAUGUUAAUAGCAAUAAUAUAUAUAAUCUCACUUUGAUCGUCACAAUAUUAUUUAUAUUUUACAUUUGAGAGAAUAAAUUCAGAAUAGAAGGCCCUCCAAACUCAUGAACUAGAAGGUUUAUUUAUAUAUCAUCUAUAUAUGUAUUCACAUCUGUUAAUUGGGAGACAUUGUGGUUUAUUAGUUAAGAUUAGAAACAGUAGGAAGAGAAUCCCUAGACUCCAACCCCAACUCUUUGCAUUUUUGCUGUUGAUUUUAGGGCAAAUUCAUCUCAUCUAUACAAAAAAAGUACAAAUGUAUGUAUUUAUGUCUGUGUGUGCACACAGAGAGGUCAGUGCCUGACACCCAGCAGAUCUCUUACGAGAUUACUUAACAUUACUGUAGUGGUGCAUUUCCUUCCCAGCCCUCCUCCUGCCCCAUUAGAAAUAACAGGGACUCCUCAUGUGUAUUUCCUCUUUUUUUGAGGGAUUAUCUCUUACAGCCCAGGCUAGUCUUAAACUUGCUCUAUAGUAGAAGAUGACCUUAAACUCCUGAUCUUCCUUCUCCUGCCUCUUAAAACCUAGAACUAUAAGUAUGAACCACUGUUCUUGGCUUCUCACUCUUAAAAAAAUAAGAAAUAAAAAGUACCCCAAUAGUAUGGUACCUGAUAAUGAGGGUGUUCUGUGCUUAGAUAGUUUAGUGUGUGUGUGUGUAUAUAUAUAUGUGUGUGUGUGUGUAUAUAUAUAUGUGUGUGUGUGUGUGUGUGUGUGUGUGUGUGUGUGUGCGAGUCCAAAGACACUGGUAGCCAAGACUGGGAAUCAGAGCUAAAGAACAUAAUUGAAUGUCUCAGAACCUUUUAGGUAUACUAGAUUUCCAAUAAAUACUUUAACAUGCAGUGUAACCAGGUUUACUUGAACAAAGUAAGGCAUCCUUAAAAUGUAUGUAAUUUAUACUUGGCUUAGUCAGGGUAGUAUUGCUUUGAUGAAACGCCAUGAUCAGUAAGCAAAUUGGGGAGGAAAAGGUUUCUUUGACUUACACUUCCACAUUGCUGUUCAUCGCCAAAAGAAGUCUGGUCAGGAACCUGACACAGAGGCCAUAGAAGGAGUGCUGCUUAUGGCUUGCUUGUCCUGGCUUGCUCAGCCUGUCUUUUUAUAGAACCCAGCAUUACCAACCCAGGCAUGGCUCCACCCAUAGUGUCCCCCAUUGAUUACUAAUUGUGAAAAUGCCCUACAGUUGGAUCUCAUGGAGCCAUUUUCUCAACUGAGGCUCCUUUCUCUGUGAGGACUUUGUGUCAAGUUGACAUACAAAACCAGCCAGUUCAAAACAUAACUUUGGAAAAUUCUGUAUUUGUAUUUUCUCCAUAAACACUAUAGUUGUUAUUACAUAGGAUGAUUUAUAGGGAUCAGGAGAAGACCUGUAGUGGGAAACAAAGAACUAAUUAUUUUUACAGUAUUUUAAAAAAUAUUUAUCUAUUUAUUUAAUGUAUAAGAGUUCUCUGUCACUGUCUUCAGACACACCAGAAGAGGGCAUCAUAUUCCAUUACAGAUGGUUGUGAGCCACCAUGUGGUUGCUGGAAAAUGAACUCAAGACCUGGAAGAGUAGUCAGUACUCUUAACUCUCUAAGCCAUCUCUCCAGCCCAUUUCUACAGUAUUUUAGGCUUGAAGUGAUGGGGCUUUUCUGACAGUAGAAAAGGGAAGUCAGAAUGGAAUUAGGAAAUAUUUUGAUGGAAGAUUCUAGAAUCUUAGUGGCUUGG
rnacentral:lncRNA from 1 species